CAGAAAGUAGUUUAAUAAGAAUUCUAGCUUUGGGAGUUAGGGGCAGAAGUUGAAGUCUUCUCUUUCUGA
rnacentral:tRNA from 1 species